rnacentral:rRNA from 1 species
UGCCAGACUCCUACGGGAGGCAGCAGUGGGGAAUAUUGCGCAAUGGGCGCAAGCCUGAUGCAGCAACGCCGCGUGAGCGAAGAAGGUCUUCGGAUCGUAAAGCUCUGUCCUUGAGGAAGAAGGAAGUGACGGUACUCAAGGAGGAAGCCCCGGCUAACUACGUGCCAGCAGCCGCGGUAAUACGUAGGGGGCAAGCGUUAUCCGGAUUUACUGGGUGUAAAGGGAGCGUAGGUGGCAUGGCAAGCCAGAAGUGAAAACCCGGGGCUUAACCCCGCGGAUUGCUUUUGGAACUGUCAGGCUGGAGUGCAGGAGGGGCAGGCGGAAUUCCUGGUGUAGCGGUGAAAUGCGUAGAUAUCAGGAGGAACACCGGUGGCGAAGGCGGCCUGCUGGACUGUAACUGACACUGAGGCUCGAAAGCGUGGGGAGCAAACAGGAUUAGAUACCCCGGUAA